rnacentral:misc_RNA from 1 species
UGCAACCAACGGCAAUAUGGAUCUGUCUGGCAAAAAAAAUGAUCAUGAAUAAUCGGAUUGAACUCGUAUAUGAUGUUUAGAUCUCAAGCUUAUGUAGUUGCAACCAACUUUCUGAUCUUUCUGUCAUGGUUCAACAUAGCACUCACACUCUCAACAACCAAUAUAAUCUGGAAGCAAGCAUAAGCCAUUCCUGUUGCAAAGUAAAAGUUGGCAUUGCCAGUACCCCUCCAUAUCCACAAGUUGUGCAUCACAGGACUAAGAAGGGAAACUCCAACAAAUCCACAGAAGAGAAAGAAGGAAAACUGCAUUUCUGCUAACUCAUUGAAAAACAAAGCUAACAAAGCCAAGUAUAGAGCUGAGUCCCCAACUGAAGGAUAGGGCUUAAGUAUUGAACAGAUUGCCAUGUAAACAAAAGCCAAGAAACACGGCCGGUGCUUUAGCCUUAUGGCUAGUGGCAGUAUCAUGAAAAGGAUGUUCACAUGAAAAACAAUCAGAAAGAAGUCUCUGAAAAAUUCAAAGACCUCGGCAAAGAAGUACCACAAGACACCAAUGUUUGGAGACAAAUCUUUGACAGUAAGAAUAAACCCAUAGGUCCUGUUAAACAUUUCUGAAAUGCCACCAUAGUUUCUCAUGAAGAUGCCACACAAAACCAAUGUAUACAAGGUCCAAAUAAAAACCCAGACAAAGAAGAGUCCAACUGGUCUCCAUGAGAAGUUUUUUUGUUCUGAUAAGCCAUUUACCACCCGGCCUUUACUUGAGUUGUCAGCUUCAUCUUUCUUAUACAUCAGGAACAAUUUCCUUGGGGUUGCAUCUGGACCAUUACCUAAUAGCAAGAUUACAGGUAUAAUCAGGAUUGUCGGAUAGAGAGACAAAUGAGAUGCUACAACCCACCCAAAAGCUGCCAAUGGGGCUACUCGGAUGCAGGCUCCAUAAAGUGACAAGAUAAUAAAAAGAUUUUCCACAGGGGUUGUAUUGAAACCCACACAUGUGACUAUGGUUAAAGGGUUCCACAAGUACACAAGAGCUGCAAUGUCCUCCGAUGGUAGAAUCUCAGAAAUUUCAAAGAGCUUCCCCAAACCCAGCGAUUUUAAUCUCUCACAAUAUGCCAUGCGAAGUUUAAGGCCAGUUGCCCGGAUUAGCAUGGCAGAGAUGAAAUCUGCAAUCACAGAAACCAAACUGCAUAGAAGAUGAUAAGGCUGUCCUUCAAUUUUCUUCAUUGUAAGCGGACCGAGAACCGAGAGCAGAAGUGGAGAACCAUGAUACAUAGAACCGGCAUACGGAGACAUCGAUGACUGCGUUAACCAGUAACCUUCUGCCAGUCGGCGUAGACUGGUGACCGGAGUGGAAACUUCUGGACGAGUAGCUAAGUUAAGGUUUUUGGGAAAGUAAAUGAGAACUAAUCUGAAGAUCAUUGAUGCU